GCAUACCCAGCAAGUCCCACUUCUGAAUGCCUUGCUGGCUUCCACGUCUCCAGGACUGCUCCCUCUGCUGGAAAGCUCGCCCCCCCCAACCCUCGAGUCCCCAAGACUCCUCCGCCAAGGGGCUUCCUGGGAUCAGCCAGUAUCGAGUGCAUUUGUGGGGUUCCUUCACUUCAAUCGAAACAGAAUUUCUGAAAGCAGUGGCUGUGCACACACUUGGCCGCAAUCUGAGCCACCGCGCAACCCCCCCGAGGAGAACAGGCAUCUGGACACCGCAAGCAGAGCUAUGUAAAGCUAAUACUCGCAGACGCUGUGGGCUUCAGCCUGUCUAAGGAGGCAGGGAGCUGGCAUGGUAUAUUAAAUUCACUGAAUUUUACAGCGAACAUCUGGCCUCAAGGACAGCUGUGGUCAGGUUUAGUGAAAGACUUCUGUGAAAAAUGGUAACGUCAAAAUAUUUGAGCCUCUGUUUGCACUAAGGCAACUUGUUAAUCAGUUGGUCUGCGUUGGGGCUGAAUAUUUGCCAGUUUCACUUUACUUAAGGCGAAGGUACCCUUCUUAAACAGAAUCCAACAUCGUGCCUGGGAUCAGGGGAGUCUAAUUCACGUAGCACCGUUUUCUCUGUUCGCAAAAUAUCUGUUUUUAUUGUUAGAAAAUUGUGAAUGGGUCUCUUCGCAUCCCUCGGUUUUGCUCACCUCGAUACCAUUGGCGCUUAAGGGUGAAUACAUAGUUUAAACAGAGAGGGUGAAAUGAUCAGCUUUUAAGCAGCCUCCCCGGAUGUCUGAGAUUUUGAAUAAAAGGGUAUGUAGCAUAAAUUAUAACUCUUAAUCAUAACCAUGAACGCAAAACUGAGGGGUUUUAUAUUCGAAGCAGAAAAGUUGCAUCUCAAAGCUGAGAAGUACAUUUAGCGGCCUGUUUCUAAUCUGUCAGAAAGCGCAACAUGGAUUUAAUGUGACCCUGAAGGAUAGAAGGAAAACAGGGCUCGCCCUCUGAUCCUCCAUUUGAAGCUCGUUGAAUUAGUCCAAGCACAUUUGAAAUGACUCAAGAUGGUGAACAUCUGCCUCUCUUUAUUAGAAAAAUUCUCUUUUUAUUAUAAAUAAACACUUUGUCCGGGAUUGAUUGUGAAUUCCAUUAGUCCGUGGACUUGUGUUUCCAGAGCAACGUGAGCGCUGGGCCAGAAGCACUGAGUGCGUUCUGAAUCUCUCCAGAAUCCGACAGUGAACACACAGAAAGAAACACAUAAUUAGCUAGUUCGUUGCAGACUUUGGCCUCAACCUAGGGAGCAGCUGACCCAGGUGCAUUGCAGAACUUUGGAACGCCGUCUCGAUUACCCUGCUGUACGUCACAACCAAAUGGCACGGAGGAGCUUCAAGCUCCUGAGAAACAUGCCUCAGUCAGCGUUUCCCUCGUUACCAGAACACAGAAGAGGCCCACCAGACAGUCACUGUGCCUUUGAGACGCCUCCGUGUGGGUGUUCACUGAUAUCAGGGGAAUAAAGUAGGCCCAGAUGCAAUAGUCCUUAGAAAAUAGGACUUUAAAGAGAGUUUGGGUCCCCGGCCCGCACAUCCUCCAUCUUCUCUUUCCUUCUGCUUGCGAGAAUAUACAGUCUGGGGGCGCCUGGGUGGCACAGUGGUUAAGCGUCUGCCUUCGGCUCAGGGCGUGAUCCCGGCGUUAUGGGAUCGAGCCCCACAUCAGGCUCCUCUGCUAUGAGCCUGCUUCUUCCUCUCCCACUCCCCCUGCUUGUGUUCCCUCUCUCGCUGGCUGUCUCUAUCUCUGUUGAAUAAAUAAAUAAAAUCUUAAAAAAAAAAAAAAGAAUAU
rnacentral:lncRNA from 1 species